rfam:Asian citrus Psyllid, Diaphorina citri - Florida Strain, whole genome shotgun sequence.
GCCUAGUUAGCUUAGUUGGUAGUGCGUCUGCCUUGUAAGCGCUAGGCCGCAGGUUCGAUUCCUGCCCGGGGCG